UACGUAGGGUGCAAGCGUUUAAUCGGAAUUACUGGGCGUAAAGCGUGCGCAGGCGGUUGUGCAAGACAGAUGUGAAAUCCCCCGGGCUCAACCUGGGGAAUUGCAUUUGUGACUGCACGGCUAGAGUGUGUCAGAGGGGGGGUAGAAUUCCACGUGUGAGGCAGUUGAAAAUGCGUAGAGAUGUGGAGGAAUACCGAUGGCGAAGGCAGCUCUCUGGGACGGUACU
rnacentral:rRNA from 1 species